UUCUUAUAUUAUGAGCCAACCAGAGUCGGUCUGGAGUUGUUGCAGUGCCGAAUCUGGAUAAAUAAAUGACAUAAAAAUAAAGAAAACUGAUGAAUCACAUCAUGGCACAGGAGUAAUAUCCUUUAGUAAGAAAAGGCAUACAAUCUAUUUUUUUCCAAAAUACUCCUCAGUUUUAUACCGCUUUAGCAAUUGCAUCACCUUGAAAAAUCCUAUGUCUGGCAUCUAACCCAGAUUCUACAAGCAAAAUGAAUGAGAAAAAAAAAGAUUUUAAGUUUCUAAUAAGCAGAGCUCCAGAUUCUGCUUUGCCAUAGGGGCUUCAUCCACUUUAAGUGGCCAUUUUGAGGAAAAGAAAUGACAUGCCAACCAUUGAGACUAAGGAAAAGGCCUUUUGAUAUAGGAUACCCAAAGAACAUUUUACACUGCUGUCCCACAGCAUGGUAGAAAUACCUGAGCAGGUUAAUUUGUUUCAUUUUGUUUUUGUUGAUGAAAAUUUUCUCUUUUGCUCUAGGAAAGAGGUCUAUGCAAAGGCUCUGUGGUAAACAGUGAGGAAGAUAAAAAGAAAUAUAUCACUGUAGAAUGCCAUUUCUUCCCACGUCCGCCACCAGUUACAGGUGAACAGACUCCACAAUCCAAGUCUGCGCAGGAGGAGCAUCAUGAUGGUCGUGAAAGACACGGAGAUCGCCAUGAAGAGAGUGGACACCAUCACCACCACUCUGGUUCCCACCACCACAAACAUCAGAAACAGCAGGAGCCACACCAGCCUCACCCCACAGCUGAAAUCCAAGAGAUACAAUUAAAUCAAAAGAAAUUAGUGGGCAAGGUGAUCGUCCAUCCUCCUUUGAGCAAACAUUCAUUACAGGAAGUGCGAGAGCCCAACCCAACCUCUGGCUCCACUCUUGCUUCUCCAGAACAGGAAGCCGGGCCUCACUCAUCCAAGCCAAAUGGGCCAGCCAUUUCUCCUUUCCCCAGAGAGUUUUCACAAUCAGACCGAUGUCCAGGAGAUACUUUAGUAGUAAUCCCUGGCCUUGAACUGCCUUCCCGGCCAUAGGUUGAAACCUCCUAAACAAACAGGAAUGUACAACGCUGAUAGCUUAAUUCAGAGGAAACAUAGCAAAACUCUCUGGAUGAGCAGGAAAAGGAAGGGAGGGAAAACAUUCUAAAGCUCUUUCAUUACCAAAAAGUAUCUGGAAAUGUGGAUGUAGACAGUAUUGAUUUAGGUGAGCAUAUUAGAGAAUCCUUCUAAUAUUGAAGUAAAUAAAUACUGGCAAUUAAGCUCCCUUAAUUCCUGU
rnacentral:lncRNA from 1 species